rnacentral:sRNA from 1 species
AUCCCAUCUAGAAGCACCUAGUUAUGCAGAGAUUGUACAAAUGGCAACACAAGGACAACUUCUCAAAUUACCUGCUCAUGGAUGGA